GAUUAACGCUGGCGGCGUGCAUAACACAUGCAAGUCGAACGAAGUGGCGGACGGGUGAGUAACGCGUGAGUAACACGCCUUAGAGAUGGGGAUAGCCUCUGGAAACGGAGAAUAAUACCCAAUGCUCUAAGAUGGACUUGCGUCUGAUUAGCUAGUUGGUGAGAUAAAAGCUCACCAAGGCGACGAUCAGUAGCCGGCUUGAGAGAGGGGGCGGCAACAUUGGGAAUGGGACACGGCGCAGACUCUACGGGAGGCAGCAGUGGGGAAUUUUGCACAAUGGGGGAGACCCUGAUGCUGCGGCGCCGCAUGAUUUAGAAGGCCGUCAGGUUGUAAAAAUCUUUUGUAUAGAAAUCGGUACUAUACGAGUAAGGACCGGCUAAUUACGUGCCAGCCGCCGCGGUAAUAC
rnacentral:rRNA from 1 species